ensembl:lncRNA
GAAGUAUCGUAAAGAUGCCACAGAUUGCAACGGAAGUGCCAAGCACUAAAUGGGCUAUAUAGUGCAACGCUUUGGACUAUAAGAUAGAUUUUAUGCACUACAGGUGAACUACAGGUGAAGUCACUCAAUCCAGUCCCAUAGGCUUGUUGGGGGACCAUACCAAGGUGACAGCUAGCUGAAAGAGCUACCCGGAUUCAUAUCGCACUGCGGGAGGGACUCUGGAGAAAUCAAUGACGAUUCAGAUGGAGAGAUAUGGGCAGAUUCCAGGUUCUGACCCGUGGAAGACUGAAUGCCUGACUACAGGACAAGUGGACAAAUCUGGAUCUUUCAUCAUUGGGGAAUUUAUGUUUGAUGAGACUAGUGUUGAGGAUAGAAUUAGAUUGUACUUUGUUUCAAUAUUAAACUGUUUUUUAAUAAAGAUUGUAACAGAAAAUCCUUGAUAAGAAGAGUUAUAAUUCUGAUGUAGGUUUAAGGGUUAAAUUAAGGUAAAGGUUAGAUUUGAUUAAUGAUGGGUGAAGAGUCGGAUAAACAUUUAUAAUAAUGUUGGUUCAUAUUUUUAUUUUUGAUAAAAUUAAUGUAGAUUUGAAUGUAUAAUAUUUGAUCAAAGGGAGGAUUGUUAGAGGAAAUUAUGGUUGAAAUGACUAAUUAUGUAUACAUUCCAAUCAGAACUGACUAGUCCAAAUACUAUAAUGUACUGUACAUAUGAAUUUUCUCUCUUGCUCCCAUUCCCAAUUGUAUAUAAUGUAGUCAGGAGUUUAGUAACAAUGAAGGUCUGUUCCUUAGUUCAUUCAUUUGUACAAUCUCCAGGUGGCAGGAACGGCCUGUCUAGAAUGCUGAUUUAUACUGACUGACCUUGACUUCAGGCGUAGAGCGAAGGCUCGAGAGCUAGAGGGCCUCUACUGGUGAACGUUUAGAAAACGAUGUCAUUUUCAGUUUAUAACCUGUGGAAAUGUGUAUGUGGGAGUACUCUCUUGCAAUAAACGCUGUUACCUGGCUUUUAAGACUGGUCUCGAUCUACUUCAUGCAUAAUUAAUGAAUUUACAACUCAUUAAUG